CAGACUGUAACCUGCCAGGCUCCUCUGUCCAUGGGAUUUUCCAGGCGAGAACACUGAAGGCGGUUGCCAUUUCCUCCUCCAGGGAAUCUUCCCAACCCAGGAAUCAAACCCUUCAGAGAGGUGCCAGUAUCACUGGUCUGUGAUGCUCUAAGAGGCAAGCUUCCUGGUCGUCCAUAGUCUUUAGUGAUUUGCAGAAAGGAUUUCAACUCACCUCCCUGCCAGCUGGUGCCUGUGUAGCUGCCUGAAGCUGUGCUUGCUGGCUUACUCUGGAACUGUCCCUCAUGUAAGGAAGGAGUUCAGGAAGCUGGUCCAUUGUCCCUGACCAUUGUGACCCUUACCUCUCCUAGACUUCCUGAAUAUUUGACCCGACUACAACUACUAUUUAUUAUACCUCAUACUCCUUUUUUAAAAUUUCCCUCCCCUCUUUCUUUUUGACCAUAACCUACUCUUCUACGAGGAAGUUCCCUGCCGAAGAAACAUGGAGGAAGAUAACCGACAAUGAUAGCAGAUAAAGGCAGAUAGAUAUAAAUAAAGGUGAAAAAGGAACAAAGUUAUACGAAAUAAAAUCUUAAAUUUUUGCUAAAG
ensembl:lncRNA